CUGCCUCUAUUUUAGCAGGUUCGGGUUUCUGUUGCCCACUCCCUACCCGGUGCCCCAGAUACUGGACUUCCGCCAUACCGAUAUGGCAUUUGCUGGGUUUUAGGGUCAGUCCGGCCUCUCGGAUUCGGUCUAGAAUGGCUCCUAUGUGAACCAGAUGUUCGUGCCAGGAGUGGCUGAAUAUGGCGAUAUCGUCUAGAUACGCGCAGGCAUACUCCUGAAACCCAUCUAAUAGUCUGUCUACCAUUCUCUGGAAGGUAGCUGGAGCGUUUUUCAUCCCGAAUGGCAUAACCUUAAACUGAUACAGGCCAAACG